rnacentral:lncRNA from 1 species
AUUGUGUGGUCAGAUUCACUGCAUUUGAUGCUUUUUCAGGAUUUGUUUUUCCUGCUAGAAAUGCUAGAGUUGUCACAGAUGUGAUAUUUAUGUUUUCAUUGUCUGGGGAGGGCCAAGUUUCAUGACAGAGAAAGACUGGGGCCAAUUCUGUGAUUAUGGAUGUCAACUUAUCUCAGAGCAGUAUCAUUGGUUGAGCAGUCCUGCAGGACAUCUAAGUUUACCGUCUUUAUCUUGCCAUUGUCAAAGAUCCUGGACCUAUUUUUUUCUGCCUUGAAAACUUUUGUGCAGUAAAACCAGCAAUGGAUUUUAGCAGAGUUGAUGCAUCAUUAGGAUUUUCACAUUAACUCUUUGGACUUAGAGCCAUGUCUAAAGUGUCCUUCUUUUGGAUAUAGUGCCUGGUGCAGAACUCUACCACAAAACAUCAGGUGUGCCUCUGAAUAGUCUUUGCAAGAAGCACAAAAUCCUAGAAUUGAGGUGAAUUUGUAAGUUCCUCUAGUCCAACCACCUUUCAAAUGAAAGAAUCCUUCCAAAGCACCCCUGGCCAAUAGCUCAUCAAGAUUUUGCUUAGAUAUUCUUAUUGAGGGGGAACUUACUAACUCCUUUAAUUCUUAUUUUGCUUAAGGCUGAGUUUUUAAAACAUCUAACAUCAGCCAAGAUUAUUGAUUUAUCUAUAAGGAAUAAUCUGUGAAUUAACCUUCUGUAGCUUUUCCUUGCUGACCAGGGAAUACCUCCCCAUUGAAGCCUAGGCCAGAUUCCAGUCCGUUUUGACCAUACCCCAUCAUGGUAUUUUAGAGUACACCUGAAUAAGAUACAUGGUGCCAUGUACAUGGAAACUGACUGCUCUCAUGUUACGGGUUGAACUGUGUCCCCCCAAAAUUUGUAUGUUGAAGUCCUAAAAUUGGCACUGUUGCCAUAAGCCAGGGAACUACCUAGGAGAUGCUAGGAGAGAGGCCUAGAAUGGAACCCUCCCUCCCCCGCCCCUGGGGCCUUCAGAGGGAGCGGUGCCCAGCUGACACCUUGACCUUGGACUUCUAGCCUCCAAACUGUGAGACAAUACAUUUCUGUUGCUUAAGCCACUCAGUUAGUGUGCUUUAUUUUGGCAGUCUUAGCAAACUAAUACAUCCCCCAAUCCAGAACUGUCCUCCUUUGGAUAAUAAAAACAGCAAUAAUUAUAGUGUCAUUACCCUGAGUGACUGGUCCCACUGUUGGUCAUUCUUUGUAGAUGUGAGUUAUUGCCCUAUUGAGAUCAGAAGUCCUCUCACUUAGAGGCAUAUCUAAGACUUUUUUCUUGUGGAGGGAGCUCACUCAACUGUAGGUAAGGUUUGACUCAUCUGGGUUAGUAGUAAGAACAAACUUCCAAGUGGCACCAUCUUAAAGGUGCAAGCCCAUGUGGGCGAUGACCAGGUCUGGUAUAUUAAGAGGCUCUUGGUAGCACAUUAGAAACACCUGGAGAGAUUUUAAAAUUUACAAAGCCUAGCCAAACCCCAGACCCAUUAACCCUGACUCUCUGAGAAUAGGACCCUGGCACCUGUGUUUUAAGGAUUCUAGGUGAUUUCAAUGUGUAGCCAAGGUUCACUGCCAUAGCCUGUCCUGGAAUGCAGGUAACUAAAACUUCAGCAGAUUAUGAAAAACAAAAGUUACUUUCUUGGAUGCAUAUAUUCUUAUAGCCUCAAAACUGAAACUGCAAACUGAACAAUGCUGCAGUCAGAUACACACACAUAUUUCAACUGCAUAACUUCCUUUAAUAAUACUUUUAUUUUUCCAAAUUUGAAGACUGUCCCUAAGUCAUUUCUUCUAAAAGUUAGUAAUAAUCCCACCAACUCACAUUUACAUAGAAGUUACAGUUUAAAGUUUGCAUCUCGUAAUAACUUGGUGAGAUAGGGCAAGCAUUAUUUCUAAUUUGCAUAUGAGAAAAAACUAAGGCUCGGAUGAGUUAUGUGACUUCCCUGAGUCAUGUUAGAGUAACUAACUCCUGAUUUGUAAACUGAAGGUCCCAAAUCCUGGGAACUCCCUCAGCUCUGGGCAAGCCAGGACAGGUAGGUCACCCUGCACCUACACAAGGACUGAGCUGAGUUCUAGUUACCUGCUGUGAAGGACUGUAGAGGUUAUCUAAGCCAGCUCCUCCUUUUACUGGAAAAGGAAAAGACUGAGAUAAGUUUCCAAAACCCCUGCUGGAGCACCUUCUACUUCUAGAAAGAUGUUGAGGGGCUUCCAGGGCACAAAGGAAAGAGAAGUAACUGUGUCUCCUUCCCCAACCAUGUAUGUGAUACAUUCAUUCUCUAGGAUUGGAAAUUCCCAGAAAGCUGUGUCAGCAAUGAGAUUUGUUUCAUUGUUUUGCCUUGUUUUGUCAUUGAGUUGUUAUAGUUAAAGUUUAUUAUUUUUUAAUGCAGAAAAAAGUGACUUUUGGGGGAGUGCAGAGUUCUAUGAAUUUUUAACACAUGUCUAGUUAUUUGACCACAACCGUAAUCAAGAUACAGAACAGUUUUAUCAUUUCAAGUGCUCUCCUGCUAUGCUUUUAUAACACACCCUUCCCCACCCCAACUCCUGGCAAUUACUGCUCUAUUCUCCGUAACUGUAGUUUUGCCUUUUCGAGAAUAUCAUAUAAAUAAUCAUGUAUUAUGUAACAUUCUGAGACAGGCUUCUUUCACCCAGCAUAAUGCCUUUGAGAUUCAUCCAGAUCGUUGUGUGUAUCAGUAGUUUGUUUUUAUUACUGGGUUAUAGUUCAUUGUAUGGAUAUACCACAGUUUCUUUAGCCAUUCACCCACUGAAAGUCAUUUGGGUUGUUUCUAGGCUUUGGUGAUUAUGAAUAAAGCUGCUAUCAACAUCC